rnacentral:rRNA from 1 species
UACGUAGGCAGCAAGCGUUGUUCGGAGUUACUGGGCGUAAAGGGUGCGUAGGCGGCUUUUUAAGUUUGGUGUGAAAUCUCCCGGCUCAACUGGGAGGGUGCGCCGAAUACUGAGAGGCUAGAGUGUGGGAGAGGAAAGUGGAAUUCCUGGUGUAGCGGUGAAAUGCGUAGAUAUCAGGAGGAACACCGGUGGUGUAAACGGCUUUCUGGACCAUAACCGACGCUGAGGCACGAAAGCGUGGGUAGCAAACAGG